CAGCAGCCGCGGUAACACAGAGGGUGCAAGCGUUAAUCGGAAUUACUGGGCGUAAAGCGCGCGUAGGUGGUUUGUUAAGUUGGAUGUGAAAGCCCCGGGCUCAACCUGGGAACUGCAUCCAAAACUGGCAAGCUAGAGUACGGUAGAGGGUGGUGGAAUUUCCUGUGUAGCGGUGAAAUGCGUAGAUAUAGGAAGGAACACCAGUGGCGAAGGCGACCACCUGGACUGAUACUGACACUGAGGUGCGAAAGCGUGGGGAGCAAACAGGAUUAGAUACCCGUGUAGUCCCUGUCUCUUAUAC
rnacentral:rRNA from 1 species